UACAGAGGGGGCAAGCGUUGUUCGGAAUUACUGGGCGUAAAGCGUGCGCAGGCGGUUAUGCAAGACAGAUGUGAAAUCCCCGGGCUCAACCUGGGAACUGCAUUUGUGACUGCAUGGCUGGAGUGCGGCAGAGGGGGAUGGAAUUCCGCGUGUAGCAGUGAAAUGCGUAGAUAUGCGGAGGAACACCGAUGGCGAAGGCAAUCCCCUGGGCCUGCACUGACGCUCAUGCACGAAAGCGUGGGGAGCAAACAGG
rnacentral:rRNA from 1 species